rnacentral:rRNA from 1 species
CUGGUUUUUCCGUCGCGGCAGAACCAAUCCCUCGCUAGCCCUACCUCGUCUCCCGUCUCCAGUCGCAGCCGCCGCCGCACCCCAAUCCAACCCCGCCGCCGGCGAUCUCCUCGCCCCCCUGCGCCGCCGCCCCCAACCUUCUAUUCUUCUCCCAAGGGAAUCCCAAGGGAAGGGAAGGGAAGGCAAGGGAAGGGAAGGGAGAGGGAGCGCCCAGAUCCACGGCGGCAUCAGCGCGCCGUCGUCACCUGAUCCGCGUCCGUCCUCGAGGGAGGUCGGCCAUGGAGGUCCGACCCAGCCCGGCAGCAGCCAUGGACGGACGGAGAUGCCCCAAACCCUACCCUCAAGGACGACGCCUCAACCUUCAAGGACGCGCGCCGGCGACCGCGGAUCUCCGGUGACGGCUAUGGAUGACUGCCCCGGAUCUGGACGCACAACCUGCAGCUGCAGCAGCAGCUGGACGACCGCUUAUGUCCUGGAUUUCAUCUUUUCUCCUUUCUCUGAUUUACUCAUACACAACUCCUGACUUGCUGCAUGUGGCUGCUGAAUCUUCCUACUGCAGGUGUGCCUUACACAUGUUCGUUGAGUUGCUUAAUGACAUAAAAAUUUUUUGAAACCUGGAGUUAUGCAACUGCAGCAACAAGGACGGAUGGCCAUCUUCACAGGUUUUGCAAGUAAUUGAAGCGCUUUUUGAGUAGAGGAUAAUUAGAGAUAUAAAGUUCUACCUCAGAUCUUGGGGAAUUAAUCCAUCUCGCUGUACUACCAACUCCGUCGGCCGCUCCUGCUCCAUACGCACAAUCUCGUCGAUGUACCAGAUUUCUUUAAGACCCACUGAAUAUUAGACGGACGUGCUCUACCUUGGCCUCAAGGGUGUUCAUCUACUUGUUGCCGUGCUCUGGAAUCUGGACGAUGCACUAAUGCAGUGAGCACAAGCCUGCAACCUUGAAGGAAAAUCCAUUGCCGCUGAUGACAUGAUACUAUGGGCAUCUUGGCAGCCGCCACUAGAGCAACACAUCCCUGAGCGAGCAGAUGAUGCAUAGGGGCACCUAUGGAAGAAGAGGUCGGGGAUGGUAGACAAGGGCGUGGACGCCGGUGCGGGCUCCUUAAAGCCUUCGAGGAGGAUGUCGCGGUCGGGCCCGGGGGCGGCUGCACUAGAGACACCAUGGUCAUUGCAUUCUAACAGUAUCUGCAUGAGCAGAGAAGACCAAGACCAAGUGAAGGUCACAUGGACGUGUGAAUCAGUGGGCAAGCCUCAUUUUUCUUCUAUACAUUAGAGCAGCCCAAGAUACUUGGCAUCCGUGAGACCCAUAGAUCAGCUAGAUCUUCAGCCUCAAUUGGUUGGCCCAUUUAUGCUUUGCAAGAUUUAUUUAUGCCGUUUCCUCCCAAGAGUAAUAAUUUCGGUUUCAGAUGUGCUAAAAUUCUCAUCGUCACAAACCUUUCAAGAGCGGAGCAAGACGAUCGAAGAGAGGGAGGGAUUACAAAUAUUUCAUUCAUGGCAGAGUUAGAAGUAGAACGAGCAAUGUAGAUGGACAAUUAUGCUUUCUUAAGAGUAUAUAUUUUUCAUGUGAACUAUAUUUAUUUUUCCGUGGCAACGGCAGUUGGUAUUGAGAUUGACAAAGUCGCAAAAACAUCGCUUCCCAUUGAAAGAAUAUUUCCCUG